UACAGAGGUCCCAAGCGUUGUUCGGAUUCACUGGGCGUAAAGGGUGCGUAGGUGGUGAGGUAAGUCGGAUGUGAAAGCUCGGAGCUCAACUCCGAAAUGGCAUUGGAAACUACCUUGCUCGAGGGUUGGAGGGGGGACUGGAAUGCUUGGUGUAGCAGUGAAAUGCGUAGAUAUCAAGCGGAACACCAGUGGCGAAGGCGAGUCCCUGGACAACUCCUGACGCUGAGGCACGAAAGCGUGGGGAGCAAACAGG
rnacentral:rRNA from 1 species